UGUUGUUUGCAGUGAUCGUGGAUCAGUGGUGAUAUUAGUUAUUUGUAAAAGGACACGUUGAAUAAAUUCAAUUUCAAUCACAGUUUUAUUAUUCCAUAACCUACACGGUGAUAGAUACGGUGUGCGGCAUAGUCGUCGUCACUUAGCUAUCAAGUAAACCGCACGACCUAUAUAUUGAUCCGGUGACGCGCGCGGGGACGUGGA